rnacentral:misc_RNA from 1 species
GGGAACGAAACCUCUCGCACUCUCUCAGGUCACUGUGUUGAUAUACAAAUAUGGGGGAUGGUUCAGCACCUCCAACUGCAUUUCAGAAAAUACAUGGGCAUUCACACCUCUUCUCUCUAAUAUCUCCCCACACGCAUUCUAAGUAUACUGGUUCAUACAACAUGACUGGUGGAUAUGUCAAUGAAAUUCUACGGGGUGCUUGUAUGACGAAUUGCCAAGCCGCUAAUCUGGAAGUCCGUCAAUUGGGAAAUAUUCUCAUACAGGCCCCAUCUGAAGAGAAGAAAGCUAACAGUUUCGUCGUGGAUUUUCUUAUGGGAGGGGUUUCUGCUGCAGUGUCUAAGACAGCUGCAGCUCCAAUUGAGAGAGUCAAGCUUUUGAUUCAGAAUCAGGAUGAGAUGAUAAAGGCUGGUAGACUUUCUGAACCUUAUAAAGGGAUUUCUAACUGCUUUGGUAGAACUAUCAAGGAUGAAGGCGUCCUUGCUCUUUGGAGAGGCAAUACUGCAAAUGUCAUCAGAUACUUCCCCACUCAGGCCUUGAAUUUCGCUUUCAAAGAUUACUUUAAAAGACUCUUUAAUUUCAAGAAAGACAAGGAUGGCUACUGGAAGUGGUUUGCAGGAAACUUGGCAUCUGGUGGUGCUGCUGGUGCCUCAUCCCUUUUAUUUGUGUAUUCUUUGGAUUAUGCAAGAACACGCCUUGCUAAUGAUAAUAAGACUGCAAAAAAGGGUGGUGAGAGGCAGUUCAAUGGUUUGGUUGACGUUUACAGGAAAACUCUUAAGUCAGAUGGUAUGGGGGGGCUUUACCGUGGAUUCACCAUCUCAUGUGUGGGCAUUAUUGUUUACCGUGGUCUGUACUUUGGAAUGUAUGAUUCACUUAAACCAGUACUUCUAGUCGGUGACAUGCAGGAUAGUUUUUUUGCGAGUUUCUUGCUGGGAUGGGGUAUCACUAUUGGUGCUGGUUUGGCUUCUUACCCAAUUGAUACAGUGCGUAGAAGAAUGAUGAUGACUUCUGGAGAAGCAGUCAAGUACAAGGGUUCAAUGGAUGCAUUUUCUCAGAUUGUUAAGAAUGAAGGCACUAAAUCCCUGUUCAAAGGUGCUGGAGCAAACAUUCUACGUGCUGUUGCUGGUGCAGGUGUCCUAGCCGGGUACGAUAAGCUGCAGCUUAUUAUGUUUGGAAAGAAAUAUGGGUCAGGUGGCGGUGGCUAAUCUAAUAUGGUGAUGAAUGAUAAUGACGAAAACUGUCUUUUGGUUGUGUAGAUUUCCUUGAUUGUCCGGUGCUUUUGAAUAAUUUUCCCAAACUAUGUCACACUGGUUGGCAUUCUCUUGAAAGUUUAUUCUGGAACAGUAUUUUCUUGUUUUAUAGUUGCCUUUUAU